GAUGACGUCAAGUCCUCAUGGCCCUUAUGGGCUGGGCUACACACGUGCUACAAUGGCGGUGACAAAGGGAAGCAAUAGGGCAACCUGGAGCAAAUCCUUAAAAACCGUCUCAGUUCGGAUUGUUCUCUGCAACUCGAGAGCAUGAAGUUGGAAUCGCUAGUAAUCGUAGAUCAGCAUGCUACGGUGAAUACGUUCCCGGGCCUUGUACACACCGCCCGUCACACCAUGGGAGUUGGUUUUACCCGAAGACGGUAUCCUAACCUUUUAGGAGGGGAGGCCGGCCACGGUAGGGUCAGCGANCUGGGGUGAAGUCGUAACCAAGGUAA
rnacentral:rRNA from 1 species